rnacentral:lncRNA from 1 species
UCCCUUGAGGGGGACCACAGACGGCACCCUAGCUAGUUAGGUUAGUCAAGUUAAUGUGGGAUUUGAUGAGUUAUUGUUAAAUCCAGCACCUUCAUUAACUUUUGUUUUUGUAUGACACUGAAACUUUAUGGUAUUAACUUAUGCUUUUAACUUUGAAUUGAUUUCUUGCUAUUUCUGUAAUUAUUUGUUAAUACUUAUAAACAAUGUUUCUCAAUAUCAAUAAUUCUCCUACAGGUCCAACGUCUCUGUGGAGAAUUAUGAAACCAGCUGCAGGAGGAAAUUUGAGGCUGACAAUGUCAUCUACGAGAGACUAAUCUCUUUCUUCAACAGUGGAAGUUUUGUCAACAGCGAGGACAAGUCGGAACGAAGAUUCAUCCGGAGAAAGGCAGCCACAUUCCAGUGGGAUGCAUCACAGAAGAUCUUGUACUAUACUGGAGUGGGUGACAGCAAGCGGCGGGAAGUGAUACGCACCAUGGAGAAGCUUGCAGACGUGCUGUGGUUUCACCACAGUAGCCCGACUUCAGGUCAUAGUGGUGUGCUGGCAACAUACAACAGGGUUGCUGCAGUGUACUACUGGAGAAAUCGAGACCUGCAGUGAAUGCCAGCGUUUCAGUUCAGUCAAAACGCAAGCCCCUACCAUGAAGCCCAUAAAGGUGGAGAAAUUCUUGGAACUGGUAGGACUUGAUCUGAUUGGCAUGGAAAACCUGUUCGGAUACUGACCGACCAAGGACGCGAGUUUUGUUGUGCGGUAAGUCUUUAUGUAAUUAUGCUU